rnacentral:rRNA from 1 species
CCUACGGGAGGCAGCAGUGGGGGAUAUUGCACAAUGGGGGAAACCCUGAUGCAGCGACGCCGCGUGGGCGAAGAAGUAUUUCGGUAUGUAAAGCCCUAUCAGCAGGGAGGAAGAAAUGACGGUACCUGAGUAAGAAGAACCGGCUAAAUACGUGCCAGCAGCCGCGGUAAUACGUAGGGUGCAGGCGUUAUCCGGAUUUACUGGGUGUAAGGGGUGCGCAGGCGGCACGGCAAGCCUGACGUGAAAGCCCGCGGCCCAACAGCGGGACUGCCUUGGGAACUACCGGGCUGGAGUGCCGGGGAGGUAUGCGGAAUGCGUGGUGUAGCGGUGAAAUGCAUAGAUAUCACGCAGAACCCCGAUUGCGAAGGCAGCAUACCGGUGCACAACUGACGCUCAGGCACGAAAGCGUGGGUAUCGAACAGGAUUAGAUACCCCAGUAGUC